rnacentral:misc_RNA from 1 species
UGGCUCUGGCAUCGAUGAAGAACGCAGCGAAAUGCGAUAAGUAAUGUGAAUUGCAGAAUCCAGUGAAUCAUCGAAUCUUUGAACGCAUAUUGCGCCCACCAGUAUUCUGGUGGGCAUGCCUGUCCGAGCGUUAUCUCAAACCUCGGGGCGCUCCUGGGGAGGCGCCUCCGCCUCCCCCGGCAGCUCCGGUGCUGGGGAUCGUCCGCCCUCGCGGCGGCCGGCCCCGAAAUGUAGUGGCGGUCCCGUUGCGACCUCCUCUGUGCAGUAGCGAUACCUCGCAGCUGGAUGGCGACAUGGCCACGCCGUAAAACCCCCCAACCUUCACAUGGUUGACCUCGGAUCAGGCAGGAAUACCCGCUGA